rnacentral:rRNA from 1 species
CAGCAGCCGCGGUAAUACCGGCGGCCCGAGUGGCGGUCACUAUUAUUGGGCUUAAAGCGUCCGUAGCCGGGUUGGGAAGUCCUCCGGGAAAUCUGGCCGCUUAACGGUCAGAAUGCCGGAGGAUACUCCCAGCCUAGGGAGCGGGAGAGGCCGAGGGGAUUCCCGGAGUAGGGGGGAAAUCCUAUAAUCCCGGGAGGACCACCUGUGGCGAAGGCGCUCGGCUGGAACGCGUCCGACGGUGAGGGACGAAGGCCAGGGGAGCAAACCGGAUUAGAUACCCGGGUAGUCCUGGCUGUAAACGAUGCGGACUUUGUGUCGGACAAGCUAUGAGCUUGUCCGGUGCCGGAGGGAAACCGUUAAGUCCGCCGCCUGGGGAGUACGGCCGCAAGGCUGAAACUUAAAGGAAUUGGCGGG